GACGAACGCUGGCGGCGUGCUUAACACAUGCAAGUCGAACGAUGAAGACCGGUGCUUGCACUGGUUGGAUUAGUGGCGAACGGGUGAGUAAUACGUGAGUAACCUGCCUUUGACUCUGGGAUAAGCCUUGGAAACGAGGUCUAAUACCGGAUAUGACACAGUUUCGCAUGAAAUCUGUGUGGAAAGGGUUUGUACUGGUUUUAGAUGGGCUCACGGCCUAUCAGCUUGUUGGUGGGGUAAUGGCUCACCAAGGCGACGACGGGUAGCCGGCCUGAGAGGGUGACCGGCCACACUGGGACUGAGACACGGCCCAAACUCCUACGGGAGGCUGCAGUGGGGAAUCUUCCGCAAUGGACGAAAGUCUGACGGAGCAACGCCGCGUGAGUGAUCCUUCGGGUUGUAAACCUCUUUUGUUAGGGAGCAAGGCACUUUGUGUUGAGUGUACCUUUCGAAUAAGCACCGGCUAACUACGUGCCAGCAGCCGCGGUAAUACGUAGGUGGCAAGCGUUAUCCGGAAUUAUUGGGCGUAAAGGGCUCGUAGGCGGUUCGUCGCGUCCGGUGUGAAAGUCCAUCGCUUAACGGUGGAUCCGCGCCGGGUACGGGCGGGCUUGAGUGCGGUAGGGGAGACUGGAAUUCCCGGUGUAACGGUGGAAUGUGUAGAUAUCGGGAAGAACACCAAUGGCGAAGGCAGGUCUCUGGGCCGUUACUGACGCUGAGGCGCGAAAGCCAGGGGAGCGAACGGGAUUAGAUACCCCGGUAGUCCUGGCCGUAAACGAUGGGUACUAGGUGUAGGAGGUAUCGAACCCCUUCUGUGCCGGAGUUAACGCAAUAAGUACCCCGCCUGGGGAGUACGACCGCAAGGUUGAAACUCAAAGGAAUUGACGGGGGCCCGCACAAGCGGCGGAGCAUGUGGUUUAAUUCGAAGCAACGCGAAGAACCUUACCAGGUCUUGACAUGUUCCCGACGAUCCCAGAGAUGGGGUUUCCCUUCGGGGCGGGUUCACAGGUGGUGCAUGGUCGUCGUCAGCUCGUGUCGGGGGAUGUUGGGUUAAGUCCCGCAACGAGCGCAACCCUCGUUCUAUGUUGCCAGCACGUGAUGGUGGGGACUCAUAGGAGACUGCCGGGGUCAACUCGGAGGAAGGUGGGGAUGACGUCAAAUCAUCAUGCCCCUUAUGUCUUGGGCUUCACGCAUGCUACAAUGGCCGGUACAAAGGGUUGCGAUACUGUGAGGUUGAGCUAAUCCCAAAAAGCCGGUCUCAGUUCGGAUUGGGGUCUGCAACUCGACCCCAUGAAGUCGGAGUCGCUAGUAAUCGCAGAUCAGCAACGCUGCGGUGAAUACGUUCCCGGGCCUUGUACACACCGCCCGUCAAGUCACGAAAGUUGGUAACACCCGAAGCCGAUGGCCUAACCUUUGUGGAGGGAGUCGUCGAAGGUGGGACUGGCGAUUGGGACU
rnacentral:rRNA from 1 species